rnacentral:rRNA from 1 species
ACCCGCACAAGCGGUGGAGCAUGUGGUUUAAUUGGAAGCAACGUGAAGAUCAUUACCAAAUCUGAACAUCCUCUGACCCCUCUAGAGAUAGAGUUUUCCCCUUCGGGGGACAGAGUGACAGGUGGUGCAUGGUUGUCGUCAGCUCGUGUCGUGAGAUGUUGGGUUAAGUCCCGCAACGAGCGCAACCCUUAAGCUUAGUUGCCAUCAUUAAGUUGGGCACUCUAAGUUGACUUCCGGUGACAAACCGGAGGAAGGUGGGGAUGACGUCAAAUCAUCAUGCCCCUUAUGAUUUGGGCUACACACGUGCUACAAUGGACAAUACAAAGGGUAGCGAAACCGCGAGGUCAAGCAAAUCCCAUAAAGUUGUUCUCAGUUCGGAUUGUAGUCUGCAACUCGACUAUAUGAAGCUGGAAUCGCUAGUAAUCGUAGAUCAGCAUGCUACGGUGAAUACGUUCCCGGGUCUUGUACACACCGCCCGUCACACCACGAGAGUUUGUAACACCCGAAGCCGGUGGAGUAACCAUUUGGAGCUAGCCGUCGA